AACAUAACAGUAAGGAUAAGACAAUACGAAUGUUAAGAAAUAUUUAAUGAGAAAGUGUCUCUGUAUUAAACGCCGGUGUUUCAGGGGCGAACAUUCUGCGUAUGUCAUGAGUGCCGAUCAAGAACACCUUCUGAUAUUAUCCGAGGUGUUACGAAUUUAACUUCCUUUCUCCUGCUGCAGCCGAAUUUUUUGGCGCAAAUUUUAUACCUUUCUUCAUUUUGCGUGAAUUUAGCAAGGAAAACAUAGAAAAAACAACAGCAAAAGGAUGACUUUAAUGUGGCAGUGCUGAAGGCUUUAGAAUCAGAAACAGCUUACAGAAAAGGGAAGGGCCAGAAGACUCAGCCUUUGAUGCAAAUAAUUAUGCUUGAAGAUGAUGGGAAUCUUGUGACACUUCUUUCUUCUGCACCAGAGUCGGCACCAAAGUUGGUUGCAAUUGAGAACGAUGAAUGUAUUGUGAACAUGGCUAUUGUUUGUGAUGGUACACACAUUCUUCUAAAGACAGCCGAUUCAAUAGGGGCCCUAGCUUUGUCGAUUGAUUUGUAUUACCUUGCAGACCUAGAUUAUUCAAAGGCAUAUUC